rnacentral:rRNA from 1 species
UACGGAGGGUGCAAACGUUGCUCGGAAUUAUUGGGCGUAAAGCGCGUGUAGGCGGUAAAUUAAGUCGGAUGUGAAAGCCCUGAGCUUAACUUAGGAAGUGCAUUCGAUACUGAUUAACUUGAGUACGGGAGAGGGUAGCGGAAUUCCCGGUGUAGAGGUGAAAUUCGUAGAUAUCGGGAGGAACACCAGUGGCGAAGGCGGCUACCUGGACCGAUGACUGACGCUAAGACGCGAAAGCGUGGGGA